GCAGCCCUGGAGGCCUGGGGUGGGAAACUGCGUGUGCCACCGUGGUCUGGAGCCUGCACAGGCGUCUUGACAGCAUCUAGGAGCGCAAGGAUGGCAAGGGGGUGUGAAAGGGAGGGAGACCGUGCCCCAGGAUCAAGCCUGUGGGAAAGUUGUCCUGCAAGUGUGAGGAGUGUGAGCCCCAGUGUCCCCAGGUCUUCUCGGGGCCCCUAGCAGGGGUUGCCGUGUUAGGUGGAGGUGUGACUCAGUGACUGAUGUACUACAUUCGCACAGGUUGUAAAUGAGGGAACGAUGACUUCCCUGCAGGAGAGGAAAAGUCUUUUGGGGGUUCUGGGGCGGCUACUUCCCUUUGAUGGAGUUUCUUCUUCUCCAGUAGAAGAGCCACGUGCUGGAGCCAUUGUCCAGCCUUGCCCUGGAGGAGCAGUGUCUGGCUUUGUCCCUCGAUUGGUCCACUGGGAAAACUGGAAGGGCGGGGGACCAGCCCUUGAAGAUCAUCAGCAGUGACUCCACAGGGCAGCUCCACCUCCUGAUGGUGAAUGAGACGAGGCCCAGGCUGCAGAAAGUGGCCUCAUGGCAGGCACAUCAAUUCGAGGCCUGGAUUGCUGCUUUCAAUUACUGGCAUACAGAAAUUGUGUAUUCAGGGGGUGACGAUGGCCUUCUGAGGGGCUGGGACACCAGGGUACCCGGCAAAUUUCUCUUCACCAGCAAAAGACACACCAUGGGUGUGUGCAGCAUCCAGAGCAGCCCUCAUCGGGAGCACAUCCUGGCCACGGGAAGCUAUGAUGAACACAUCCUACUGU
rnacentral:sRNA from 1 species